CUACGGGUGGCUCCAGGCGCGAAACCUUUACAAUGCACGCAAGUGUGAUAAGGGGAUCCCCAGUGCUCAUGUAUUGCAUGGGCUUUUGCCAAGUGUAAAUAGCUUGGCGAAUAAGUGGUGGGUAAGACUGGUGCCAGCCGCCGCGGUAACACCAGCGCCACGAGUGGUAACCGCGAUUAUUGGGCCUAAAGCGUCCGUAGCCGGUCUUGUAAAUCCUUUGUGAAAUUGCUCGGCUCAACCGAUCAGCGCGCAAGGGACACUGCAAGACUCGAGACCGGGAGGAGUCAGAAGUAUUCCAGGGGGAGCGGUAAAAUGUUAUAAUCCCUGGAGGACCACCUGUGGCGAAGGCGUCUGACCAGAACGGAUCUGACGGUGAGGGACGAAAGCCAGGGGAGCGAACCGGAUUAGAUACCCGGGUAGUC
rnacentral:rRNA from 1 species